AGUGAAUAGAUACCCUGGUAGUCCACGCCCUAAACGAUGUCUACUAGUUGUCGGGGAUUCAUUUCCUUGGUAAACGCAGCUAAACGCGUGAAGUAGACCGCCUGGGGAGUACGGCCGCAAGGUUAAAACUCAAAGGAAUUGACGGGGACCCGCACAAGCGGUGGAUGAUGUGGAUUAAUUCGAUGCAACGCGAAAAACCUUACCUACGCUUGACAUGCCAGGAACUUUCCAGAGAUGGAUUGGUGCCCGAAGGGAACCUGGACACAGGUGCUGCAUGGCUGUCGUCAGCUCGUGUCGUGAGAUGUUGGGUUAAGUCCCGCAACGAGCGCAACCCUUAUCCUUAGUUGCUACGCAAGGGCACUCUAGGGAGACUGCCGGUGACAAACCGGAGGAAGGUGGGGAUGACGUCAAGUCCUCAUGGCCCUUAUGUGUAGGGCUUCACACGUCAUACAAU
rnacentral:rRNA from 1 species